rnacentral:rRNA from 1 species
CCUACGGGAGGCAGCAGUGGGGAAUAUUGUACAAUGGAGGGAACUCUGAUGCAGCGACGCCGCGUGAGUGAAGAAGUAAUUCGUUAUGUAAAGCUCUAUUAGCAGGGAAGAAAAUGACGGUACCUGAAAAAGAAGCUCCGGCCAAAUACGUGCCAGCAGCCGCGGUAAUACGUAUGGAGCAAGCGUUAUCCGGAUUUACUGGGUGUAAAGGGGGAGUAGGUGGGAGAGCAGGCCCGAAGUGAAAACCCACAGCUAAACUAUGGGAAUGCUAUAGAAACUGCUCAGCUAGAGUGCAGGAGAGGCAAGUGGAAUUCUUGGUGUAGCGGUGAAAUGCGUAGAUAUUAGGAGGAACACCAGUGGCGAAGGCGGCUUGCUGGACUGUAACUGACGCUGAGGCUCGAAAGCGUGGGGAGCAAACAGGAUUAGAUACCCGAGUAGUC